GAAGCGUGACGAUGCGACGCUGCGUGGUAGGAUGACGGCCUUCGGGUUGUAAACUACUGUCAUAAGGGAAAAAUGGUGCGGGAGUUAAUAACUUCUGCAAUUGAUGUUACCUUAAGAGGAAGCCACGGCUAACUCUGUGCCAGCAGCCGCGGUAAUACAGAGGUGGCGAGCGUUGUUCGGAUUUACUGGGCGUAAAGGGUGUGUAGGUUGUCACGUAUGUCGGAUGUGAAAUUCCGGGGCCUAACCCCGGCGCUGCAUUCGAAACUGCGUGUCUAGAGUACAGGAGAGGUAAGCGGAAUUCUUGGUGUAGCGGUGAAAUGCGUUGAUAUCAAGAAGAACACCGGAUGCGAAGGCGGCUUACUGGAAUGUUACUGACACUGAAACACGAAAGCUAGGGGAGCAAACAGGUUUAGAUACCCUGGUAGUCCUAGCUGUAAACGGUGUGCACUCGGUGUUGGCGGAAUUGUCCCCGCCAGUGCCUAAGCUAACGCGUUAAGUGCACCGCCUGGGGAGUACGAUCGCAAGAUUAAAACUCAAAGAAAUUGACGGGGACCCGCACAAGCGGAGGAGCAUGUGGCUUAAUUCGAUGCAACGCGAAGAACCUUACCUGGGCUUGACAUAUAUCUGCACGUCCUGUGAAAGCAGGAUUCCUUCGAGGGUGAUAUACAGGUGCUGCAUGGCUGUCGUCAGUUCGUGCCGUGAGGUGUUGGGUUAAGUCCCGCAACGAAACGCAACCCCUAUGUUUAGUUGCUAGCAGGUUAAGCUGAGCACUCUAGACAGACUGCCCGUGUAAUCNGGAGGAAGGUGGGGACGACGUCAAGUCAGUAUGGCCCUUACGCCC
rnacentral:rRNA from 1 species